rnacentral:rRNA from 1 species
UACGGAGGGUGCGAGCGUUGUCCGGAAUCACUGGGCGUAAAGGGCGCGUAGGCGGCCUGGUAAGUAGGGGGUGAAAUCCUGCGGCUUAACCGCAGGGCUGCCUUCUAAACUGUCAGGCUUGAGCACGGUAGAGGCAGAUGGAAUUCCCGGUGUAGCGGUGGAAUGCGUAGAUAUCGGGAGGAACACCAGUGGCGAAGGCGACUACCUGGCCUGUUCUUGACGCUGAGGCGCGAAAGCUAGGGGAGCAAACGGG